GGCUGAUUGCUGGGGGCUGGCCCCGGGAGCGCUGAUGAGCCCCAAGGGUCAGCGGCGCUAAUUAUCCGCUAAUUGCAGAUGACUCUGCUCACCUCCCCCCUUCUCAGACACGGGAAUGGCGCGCCUUUUACCCUCCCCUCCUUCCUCCUGAUUUCCAGAAGUAGACUCGUCAAUCUAGAGGCAAAAGUCACGGGGCUCUGCUGCUGGAUAGCAGCCUCAGGUCAGUGGGCAAGAAAGACUUUAAGUCAGGAAAGUUACCAGAAGAAAAGUGACCCGAGCCUCAGGAAGGAGAGCAACCCUGGCUAACUAAAUGAAGGUCGUCUGCUCACUGCUAUUCAGGUGGGGCCAGGGAGAGCCAAGCAAGCUUAAAUUCACAGUAGCAGAAGCAGGCGAGUUUAAGAAGAUGCAGUCUAAAUGGAAGAAAGUUAUCUGGUUCCGGUGAGGAGGAAAACUCACACUGGAGUCUCAGCGUUUGGACAGAAGGCAAGGCAGAGAUCCAGUCCGGAGGGACAUGUCCAUAUGGAGGAAGAAGAGGUGCCUUACCUCAAGUCUGCGAACGCCAGUCACUACUAAAGUACAAGGGUAAUCCUUGUCCAUCCUCCUAAAGGCCCCUCACCUUGCUGCCUCGCUCCUAGCGACUGGUGGGAAAAAUUGCGAACUCCGGCGCCUGCGCAUCCUGGGCCGCUAAGAAAUCUGUCCGGCGACCUUGACGUCACGGGUCACCGUGCACUGGAUUGGCUGCCCCGUGGCUCCGAGCAACGCCACCUCCCUCCUGUGGUCGCAGACGGGCUCCUGGCUGUUGGGACUGCCUGUUCUUAAAAUCCCGGGACUCCAAAGACCCUCAGGGACCCUCUCCUUCUCUCUUGUUUGACAAAUGCAGAAGCUUGCGUCCAGAGCAGGAAGAGACGUCUGUUCCGCAAGUUAAUGGCAAAGCUGGGACUAGAACCCAGGGGUGUUACGUCUCAGCUCAGCUCCCGAACCCAGGUGUACAUCCGACCUAUGGGACAGGCAGCAGGCAGAGUUUCAGCUUUUCUAAACCUGCGUCUUUCACUCUCGCCUGGUCCAGGGCUACGCCAAGCUGGCUGCCCUGUGCAUCCACCUCUGGUUGUCUUCCUGCCCUCACUUCGCUGCCCAAGCCUGGGGCUGCCUGUACCGCCCUGCCCCACAGUCCGCCCGGCCUCAUUCCACAGCCUCAUUCUCUUUACCCAAGCCUCUUUGCUCCCCCGUCCUCCCGCUGGCUCUCUUUCAGGCCUUUUCUGCACUAUCUCACCUGAUGGCUAUUCCCCCUCAUCGUGGCCAGAGGGUCAGGUCUGCCUGGGAUCCCUCAGUAGCUUGUGGAGGCCAAAGGAGGCAGGUGAUAGAGCUGGCACCAUGGGGCAGAUCCAAGGGACCCCAUAAAUCUGCCCAUCUCGGGUCCCCGUGAACCAGCCAGCUUAGAGGAGGGGCUAUUGGAGACAGCAUCCAAUAACACAGGCCUGCAUAUUUUUAAUGUGAGCACAGGGUUUGGACAGUCUGGAGGGGGCCUCAGGAGACACUCCCUCCCCCGGGAGAGUAUAUAUCAUUUGCCAUGAGUCCUAGCUCUCUCUCC
ensembl:lncRNA